rnacentral:tRNA from 1 species
GCAUCCGUAGUCAGUUGAUAGAGUACUCGGCUACGAACCGAGCGGUCGGAGGUUCGAAUCCUCCGGAUGCACCA